rnacentral:rRNA from 1 species
CACACCGCCCGUCACAUCACGAAAGUGGGUUGUACUAGAAGUCAGCGGCCUGACCCGAAAGGGGAGGAGCGGCCCAAGGUAAUGACUCAUGAUUGGGGUG